GCUGAACUUAAGCAUAUCAAUAAGCGGAGGAAAAGAACCAACAGGGAUUGCCCCAGUAACGGCGAGUGAAGCGGCAACAGCUCAAAUUUGAAAUCUGGCCUCGGCCCGAGUUGUAAUUUGUAGAGGAAGCUUCUGGUGCGGCGCCGUCCGAGUCUCCUGGAACGGAGCGCCAUAGAGGGUGAGAGCCCCGUAUGGACGGAUGCCAAACCUGUGUGAAGCUCCUUCGACGAGUCGAGUAGUUUGGGAAUGCUGCUCUAAAUGGGAGGUAAAUUCCUUCUAAAGCUAAAUAUUGGCCAGAGACCGAUAGCGCACAAGUAGAGUGAUCGAAAGAUGAAAAGCACUUUGAAAAGAGGGUUAAACAGCACGUGAAAUUGUUGAAAGGGAAGCGCUUGUGACCAGACUUGAGCGCGGCGGAUCAUCCGGUGUUCUCACCGGUGCACUCCGCCGCGCCCAGGCCAGCAUCGGUUUCCGCGGGGGGACAAAGGUCCCGGGAACGUAGCUCCUCCGGGAGUGUUAUAGCCCGGGGCGUAAUGCCCUCGUGGGGACCGAGGACCGCGCAUCUGCAAGGAUGCUGGCGUAAUGGUCAUCAGCGACCCGUCUUGAAACACGGACCAAGGAGUCAAGGUUUUGCGCGAGUGUUUGGGUGUUAAACCCGCACGCGUAAUGAAAGUGAACGUAGGUGAGAGCUUCGGCGCAUCAUCGACCGAUCCUGAUGUAUUCGGAUGGAUUUGAGUAGGAGCGUUAAGCCUUGGACCCGAAAGAUGGUGAACUAUGCUUGGAUAGGGUGAAGCCAGAGGAAACUCUGGUGGAGGCUCGCAGCGGUUCUGACGUGCAAAUCGAUCGUCAAAUCUGAGCAUGGGGGCGAAAGACUAAUCGAACCAUCUAGUAGCUGGUUACCGCCGAAG
rnacentral:rRNA from 1 species